rnacentral:rRNA from 1 species
GGUUGAUCCUGCCAGUAGUCAUAUGCUUGUCUCAAAGAUUAACCCAUGCAUGUGUAAGUAUAGUAGUAUACGGCGAAACUGCGAAUGGCUCCUUAAAACAGUUAUAAUUUAUUUGAUGGAUAAAGAUAUGGAUAACCGUAGUAAUUCUAGAGCUAAUACAUGCGUGAAAGCCUGACUCACGAAGGGCUGUAUUUAUUAGAUAAAGCUAACAUUUAGGUGAUUCAUAAUAAAUUAGCGGAUCGCGGACUUGUCCGCGACAUGUCAUUCAAGUAUCUGCCCUAUCAGCUUUGAU